rnacentral:rRNA from 1 species
GAUGAACGCUAGCUACAGGCUUAACACAUGCAAGUCGAGGGGUCUUUUGGAGCUUGCUUUAAAAGACGACCGGCGCACGGGUGAGUAACGCGUAUCCAACCUGCCCUUCAUAUUGGGAUAGCCUUCCGAAAGGAAGAUUAAUACCGAAUAACAUGAUAGAGUUGCCUGAUUUUAUCAUGAAAGCUCCGGCGAUGAAGGAUGGGGAUGCGUUCCAUUAGGUAGUAGGCGGGGUAACGGCCCACCUAGCCGACGAUGGAUAGGGGUUCUGAGAGGAAGGUCCCCCACACUGGAACUGAGACACAGUCCAGACUCCUACGGGAGGCAGCAGUGAGGAAUAUUGGUCAAUGGGCGCAAGCCUGAACCAGCCAAGUAGCGUGAAGGAUGACUGCCCUAUGGGUUGUAAACUUCUUUUAUACGGGAACAGACCCCGGUACGUGUACCGGAUUGCGUGUACCGUAUGAAUAAGCAUCGGCUAACUCCGUGCCAGCCGCCGCCGUAAGAC